GAGGAGCAAAGACAACCAGAAAGAAGAUGCAGCAAAACAGAGGGUCACCUCGUGGAACAAGGGAUUCCGAGCGAGUGCACGAAUAACAGCACGUGGCUGAAGGAGAGGUGACAGGCAAGUCCCCUGCAUGAGAAGUUCUGCAGAAUUAGUGGGCUGGAAUGGCAAAAGAAAUCAUGUACCAAAGUUCUCUCCACUGGACAGAAGGAACAUCAUGGUCUUCAUAAGAGGUGAAUUCUGGGCAUAAUUUAAAAGGUUCCUUUCAGCUUUCACUAGUUGGCAAUCAAAAGCACCCAUCAUCCUGGAUCCAAAUGUGCAGUCUGUGCUUUGAGCUAAAACUUGCCGUUGCGAGUAAGGAACAAGCUGGCACAGUGCAUGUUUUGCAAAGGACACGCCAUGAUUACUACCAGGCUAAAUUAACAGUUGGAGAGAGACAGCAGAGAGGAAUUCUUAAACCUGUCCCACGUUCAUUACUCACCAUGGUUUGUGUAUUUCACUGCCACGGAUCGCCACGCAGACAUGAUGCUCAUUAUCUGUGCAGGAGGUCGCCUUUGCGUGCUGGAGGAAAACACUGGAGAUGGGGAAGAUACCCACAGUCCUUCUGUGACUUGGGACAUAAUAAAGUAAACAUGAGUCAGUUCGUAAUGCAGCAAGAGCUCAUUUGGAGCACAGACAGGAGUGUUUAAUGCAACUUCCUUU
rnacentral:lncRNA from 1 species